CACCUUCUCCCCCGAUGGGAUUUUACCAAAGUUUUAUGAGUAGAAUGAGCAGCAAUCACAGCUGGGAAUCCAGGGGCCAUUAGCUCUCCCUGCAGCCAAAAUGCCAUAGUUGUGAGUGGUCCCAUCCUUUGUGCUGUGUCUCUGCCAGACAGUGCAGCUGCUCGCAGGAGAUGCCCACUGAAUUCUGUCCGGGAUGUUCACAGUUCCACCCAGUGACCUGCACCCCAGCUUGCUCAGCCUGUGUCUGUUUCAGUCACUCUGGGCAUGUACUUCCCCUUCUGCCCUGCUUGUUUGCCACUGGCUCACUUUUUAAUUUAGAGGGAAACGUGUCCAUCUGCUCAGAUGCGUGAGGCAGCUCUGUGCACCCACCAAGACUUCCAGCACCAACAGCCGUGCCUCCAAGUAGCUCCCACCCCAGAAAUGAACGGGAUGAUUCUAAAAUACAGAUCAGGCACAAGAGCAGAGCUGUGCUUGUAUUUGCUUUCCCUGCCAUCACUGUGUGGGGAUGCAUAGCCCUGGAUGGUGAUAGAAGGGAAAGUGUUAACCACCUCCCUCUGGCAGUGGCAGCCAGUUGACCCAACAGGGGUUUGCUGGUUUGGGGCUGCACCACCUGAGGUUAUGUAUUUUUUGGAGAGUGAGGGCCAAGGGCUGAUUUGGGUGUUGGUCACCUGUGGGUGGGGUGUUGGGACUGGGAGCAGCGUGAGCUCUGCUCCUCCCUGGGCUGGGACCUGGCUCUGUGCUGGAGGAGCCCUGUCUGAUUAGCUUUGUGUUUCCUUAGAGCUGUGCUUUAUUACUUGAUUUUUCUUUUUAGCUUUCUCCAGCCAGAUUUUUUGGUGGAUGAGCAGUGCCUGGAUGCAUCUCCAGAGAUUAUGUGUUCAGAUGAUGCCAAUGGAGGGAUGAGGAUGGCAUGUGCCCUGGCCGACUUCAGCUGGGUGAGCUCCCAGCCUGGUUCCUGGGGAAGCUUGGGAGAACAGACAGCAGAGCGCAGCAUCACUGCUUCGUGGACCACAUGGAGCUGCUCUGAGUGCCACCCAACAUGCACAGCUGUCAUCCUGCUUUGCUGCAGGCAUUGGCCCAGGUACAUAAAUCUCAUAUGGACAUGGAGAGAGGUUCCAUUUGGCGUUGGCGGCAGUUCCCAGCCUGUGCAUUUUGAUGCGGAUUCUCCAACCACUUGUAAACUCUUAUAAGCGAGGAGGAAGGAGGUGGGAAGCACAGCGCCUUGCUGCAGGCAGGAGCAUGGCUGGGGAGCAGGGCAGGGAGCUGAGCCUGGCUGUCCUCAUCUCCUUAUCACUAAUAAAAUGGUGGGAAUGGCUGCUGUGGGCCCAGAGGUUAUCAGAGAUUGGUGAGUAUGGAAGGAAGGGAUGCAGAAGGACCCAACAGGGUGCAGUGCAGCAUGGGAGCAGCAGAAGGCAACAGGGGAAGGCAGCACGGGCAGUGCCAAUAUCACUCCCCUGCUCUCUGAAAACCCCAAUGAUCAGCCCCCUAUUUCGUGAAUACACAAUCCACUUGCAGCUUCCUAAAUAAAACAAGAACUCACUUCUUUCUGUAGCAGAGCAUAUUACAGCCAUUUGUCACCACAUCAUCCAGUAGGUAUUAAUUCCCAAAUCAGUUUAUGACAUGUUUUAUCAUAAGUUACUGGAGAAGGUAGCUGCAUUGAGCAAUCAUUUGAUAAACGGCACCAUAAUUUAACAUGCUUCUCUGUCAUAUUAGUGGGGAGCAAGAUUUAUUUCCUUCGUGUGACUUUAAUUAUGGAUAAUGCAAAGCAGGGAUUGAGGCGGCCAUGCUGCUGAGGUUAGCAGUGCCCUCUGUGGAGCAGAGUUCGGGUGAUGUGAGGCUUCUGUAGGACCAGGGGGUGGCAAAGGUGGCUCUGGGUCAUCAGUGUCAGCUCAUCAUGGCUUGGCACAGCUUAGCGUAGCUCAGUAUGUCUCAUCAUGGCUUGGCAUGGCUCAACAUAACUCAACAUGGCUGAGCAAGGCUCAAUAACAUAACUCAGCAUGGCUCAGGUUGUUUCCUUGUUCCCAAAUGGAUGAAGAAUCCAAGCCAUUGAACCACCUCAGGGCUCUGUUUGCUGCUGUCCCACCCAGCAAGGCUCCAGUUACAGAGGGGUGCUGCACUCCUGCCUUUGUCCUUCAGCCCAUCCCUCCUGUUGAGCUAAAUUCUGAGUUACUGAAGAGUACAGGGCAUGAGGGGGUAAGGAACACAGAGGGAAGAGAUGCUAACAUGCACUGAGCUGAUGUCAUCUCUUUUAGUCAGGAGCAGGAGAAACACAAUCCAGUUCUCUCCCCCCACAACAGAACAAAAGAGAAAGUCCCCAAGGGGAGAUUAAAAAUAAAAAAAUAAAAAAAAACACAAAACGAGAGGAGAGGAACAAAAAGAAAGAAGAAAGGAAAGGACAAAGCCCUCCUCCCCUGAAGUAUCCCCUCACUGUGUCUGACAGCUUCUCCCUUCCGCAGCUCCCAGCCCCACUCAACCUUACAGUGCCAUAAAACAGAGUUUGUGGCGUGUUCAAUCGAUUAUUCCUCCUAAUGCAGUGUUUUUGGAGACAGGUAAUUUAUUUCAGAUUCUACAUGUCUGCAUGCAAAAAAUAUAUAUAAAAAAUUAAAAAAACAACCUCUUUUUUUUUCUUUCUUCCCCUUUUUAUUGACAGGCAUUUUUUGCCCCAUACCUCCACUGCCCCCAUUCCCUCCUGCCCCCCUCUGAACCCCCUCAGAUACAGUGUUUCCCAGUGGAAGCUGCAGCCAUUCUCACAGUGAAACCCAAGGCAGGUAAUGACUUUCUCACCCCAUCCAUACUGUAGCAGGAACCGCUGCCUCUCCAGCUGCAUCCCUUUAUUUCGGACAAGGAGGAGGGGGAGGUGCCAGCCCUCUCCUCUUCCCUCUCCUCAAAGGUCUCUUAAAAAGGGGGGGAAAUAGAAGAGAGAUGUAAAGGGAGCAAAUGUGUGCAGAGAUGGGGUUUCCAUUAGGUAAGGGUUUGGGGCAGCGGGCAUACUGUGCCUCAAAGUUUUUCCAUUCUAAAUUAGCUCUGGUUUCUCUGGAACAGAGGAAAUUGCCCAUCCUUUGCAGCUUCGCUGUGAAGAGCCCCAGACUGACAGGUUUGUAAUUCCUUUGGGUAUAAUUUGCCUCUCCGGGCUGAUGGAGGAGCUGGGCCUCUGUGGGGGCAUCUCGAGUGUGGGACAUGGCCACCGUGGGAGCUCCUUGUGGCUGAGCCCCCAGCUUUGCUGUUGUUUCCAAUUAGGGGGGUGGGAGAGAUUUUGAUUGCGUAAUGAAAAAAGCAUUAUGAGGGGAAACAAUAAAUAUCAGGGAACAGGGAAGGAAGAGGGAGGGAGAUAUGGACAAAAAAUGUGAACUCUGCCAUCCACCAGCCCUGUGUUGCUGGGGCUCAGUGAAACCCUAACCCUGCUCUGCUGAAGCAAUCACCCUUGCCCGAAACACAGGCGAAUUCCAGGAGCUGGGGCUGCAGCUCUCUGGGGCUGAGGCUGCCAGGGUAGCUGUGUAGGGUCUAAAUCACUGCCCCAAAUCCCUUUGCAUAGCCACAGUCUUCUCUUUUCCCCUUCCAGCAGUAAUGUGCCACUUCUGAGACCUCUCAGCACCCAUUAAAAUUGUUUGUUCAGUGAGGAGGGUCAUGUGGAGACCAACAACCAUCUUUAGCACUCUGGACAAUCCCUGAGCCCCAUGCCUGCAGGUUGGGCCAUCCCCAGCUCAGGACUGACUCUUCCCAUGUCCAUGGACUGUUCAUGACCCCCUGCUAGGAGCAGGCGGUUUCCUCUCUGCCUUUCAGAGGUGGAAAAGAACAGGGAAAGCUUUCCCACUCAAGCAGCAGGUGCAUGUGCGGUCAGCUCACAUCCCAUGGGCUCCCAGCUGUAAUUUCAAGCACGAGCAUGUUGCUGACUGGAGAAUUGAGGAGCAGCGGGGGCAGGAGGAAUGUUUUGCUCAGGAAGCUAUAAGUACACUUUUGGAGGUUUGGGAUUGAGGACGGGGGCAGCUCUGUGCUCCCUCCGGCUCGUGCUACUCCCACCACUGCCUGUCCUCAUGGCAGCUCCUCAGGAUCAAAGCCAGCCUGAGUCCUCUGCAUCUGCCCUGCUGCUCUAGGAUGGGCUCCUGGGCCGGGUGGAUGCUGCCAGCCUUCAGACACUGCCUGCAGGUCUCCCAUCUCUGAAAGGAACACAGUAAAGUGGGACUGGUGGAGCAAUUAGGAUGCAAGUCCCUUAUCACACCUUCUCACCAGGGGUCCCAAAGUGAGCACAGGGACAAACCUGGUGCAUGUAGUACAGGGCUCAGCACGUAAGUGGCAGCCACUCAGCUUCACUGUACCAUCCCUGUGUCUCUGCACCACAUCCUUACCACCACAGGGACCUGGAUUUGGCAGUGAUGGUCGUUUUGCAGUCAUCAAAUACUGUGUGUGAGGCAGAGCUAAGAGCCUCUUGGCUGUGUGUCCCCCAACAGCCCCUGAACACACCAAACUCCAUCCCCUGUCUGUGCUCUUGCAGCCAAUCCCCAACUUGCAUGCUGGGGGCUGUGCCAGUAGUGCAUGGAUCUGCUCAGCACCUCAGCAGGAGCUCAUCUGCUCCUUGGGGUGCAGGUGAGUCAGAAAUCUGCUCUGCUCAAUGGUAUUUCUAUGUUAAGCUGCUGAAGUUUUGGUAAAUAUACGGCCAUGCACCAGGAGUUUGGAAGACAAACCAUCUCAUUGGGAAUUUGGAGGAGAGCAACAAAAAUGAUUAAGGGGCUGGAGGGAUUGAUUUAUGAGGAGAGAUUAAAAGAGCUAAAUAUGUCUAGCUAGGCUACCCAACAUCCGUGGCGAGAUCUGAUAACUAUCUACAAGGAUAUGAGGUGCGUAAAUCACAGCUUGGGGGACUGGUGGGGGGCAGCCCUGUGAGAUUACUGGCAGCAACAGCUGUAAGUGGAGCACAGGAAAAAGCAUCAUCUAAGAGAGAUCUGUUGAGAGCUGCUGGGCUGGAGAGACAGGGACAGAACCCACAUCCAGCCCUGAAGCAGCACCAGCAAUGAGUUAAGAAUCCCUCCAGCUCCUGGGAACACAGGCUGAGAUGCUUGCAAUUGAGGGGCUUAAGCCUCUGUCAGUUAAGUGCAGCCUUGAAGAAGAGUGCCAUGCUAUGGGCAGAUAGGGACACGUGCCCAUCUCAGCAGGGAUGGCGCAGCUCCCCAUGUGCUGUGAUCUGCAGCAAAGCAAAAGAAAAUACCAGCUGUGGAAACUGGAUUUUCCACAGCCUGGUGCUAGGUACAAGAUGUGAGGCCUGAUGGAAGCUUGUUAAAAAGCUCACUGGGAUUUUCCAUGAUGCAGCCAACACCAAAAGCUGAUUCGUUCCCCUUGAUCUCAUAGAGCAGUGCCACUCACACAAGCACCUCAGAGCCAAUGGGACAACCUGAGCAUGUCCCACUGAGUAAGAGCAGCAUAUGUCAACUCUUCAGGUGGCUCAGGGCUGCUGCAGGGGGAUCACAUCUCUGGCUGAUGAUGUCCAACUGCAUCCAGGAGAUGAUGGCAGAGCUGCCUUCAUGCAGGGAGCAUCCCUAGGCUGGAGAACCAGAGGGUAAAGCUCAAGUGAUUUUGUGAGGUUCGCUGGCAAACUGUCUUGGCACGGCCUUGUGGCUCUGCUGCUCUGGAGCCGCUUGAGCUGCUGGGGAUGAGGGUUCCUGAUGGACUCUGUGCACUCCUCAAACAGCAGUGUCAUGUCUCUGUCCAAGAUGAAUUCCCACAGAGCUGGACAGGGAUGCUGAGGAAGCACCCAUAGAUGCAGUACCUGGCAAAUAUAGGGAAUAUUUCUGAUGGUUUCAAGUAAUGCUCAGCUCCCACACACUGCUACACUUGAUCAGGUUUUAGGAAUAUUUAAUCUGCAGUCUUUCUAUAGCAAGGUUUCAGCUCCAUUCCUGCCUGGUGUGUGACUGAGCUGCAGCCCCCUGUCCCUGUCCUCGCAGUGCCCCAGCACCUCACCCAGCUUCCCUAUGUAUGCUGAGCUCCAGCAGCUUGUGCCGGGAGCUGCAGGUUGGGACCAGCUGGAGGCAGGGAGCAGACAAGGGCUCAGUGCUGCCCAUGGUCAUGUGCCCAUUGUUCUGCCUUUUGCCAUCUUCCAGCCAAGGCACCUGACCCACACUAGCUGAAAUGAGAGGAAACUCCCUUCGAUUGGCAGUGCAUGCUGCAGCGGCAUAAGGCUAAAGGAGUAAUUCACACUGAAAAAUUCACUUGAGACUUUUCUACUCCAGGCAGUUCAUAAUUCUUCAUGUGGAGCAGUGUUUGCAUUUGCAGAAAUAAGGAGAGCUGUGCAGCUUCCCCUUGCCUGAGUCCCCAGGAGUUUCUCUAUUUGCCGCCUGGAUGAAUUACUCAGUGCCGGGGUGCGCUCCGAACCCGACAGCUGGCUGGCUGAGGGGGCACUCGUAUUUGCUGCUGUUUAUUUUCUCAAACAUUUGUGUAUAACAGAAGCAAAAAUGAACCAGAGGAAAGAUGCCCAGCGGUGCUCAGGAAGAUGAAUUUCCCAUCCCUGGUGUGGUUUCCAGCUCCACCUGCAGCAGCAUCCCCUCUGCAAGGAUCAGUGUCAAGCCCUAUGCCCUGCUGCCCCCCAUGUUCUGGGCUCUGGACCCCCACAGCAGUGCAUCUCUUCACAUGGUGACCUGCCCAUAGGAGCUCCCAAGCCCCUCAUUUCUCUUCCCACAAGCCCAGGCUUUCCAAAUGACAGAUUAUGUUUCUGCCUCUAAUUCCAGCUUGCCUGGCAUCCUCUAUGGCAGCAGCUCUCCACAGAAAGCGGUAGGUUCUUUGCAGCCAGCAGGAGGUGGCUUUUCCUCGUCUCACUUAUCCCUCCCCCUUGCCUUAAUUGCAGCCCAACAUGGGCUUUUGAGGUGUAUUAAACAUACAAAUUAUUCUGCAAAGCCUCAUGAAGCACCAGUUACCAAGGCCUCUAAUGGGAAAUGACAGCACAACCAGAGCAGCCGUUAAGGCACAGCACUGUCUGCAGCAGCUCUGGCAGUGCACGUUCCCUGGGGGCACAGGGACCCUGCAUGGGUACCCUUGAGGAUGGGGGGCUCUCAGCUUCCCUACCUGCACCUGCAAUAUUGCAUUCAGGGCUUGAACGAUGCUGAUGGAUUGGAGAGAGUUCAGAGGAGACCUGGGAACGUAAUCAAGAAGCUGGAGGGCAUGAUUUAUAUGGCAAGUUUAAAAGGGCUGCAUAAUAGCAACAAUAAUAAGCGCUCACAGCACAUAGUGGUUUUCAUCUUUGCACUCGAACAAAGCUAACUUGUACUAUGCCCAACUGCAUUAACAACUUAACUGCAUCUAGCUCAGCCUGCUGAUUGUAAGAGGGACAUGAGAACCAUCUGCAAGGCACCUCAAAGCCCAAGUGUCACAGAGCAGGGGAGUGGGUGAGGUUGGCCCAAGGGGCUGUGGAGAGCAGCAUACAGGCAUAGUAAUGAGAGAAGACAAAUGUAGGAUGAGCAUCAGGAAAACCUGGCCUGCAGCAGGGAAAGAGGGGUGAAUGAGGACCUGAUGGUGUCCUGCAGUGGUGGUGACACAGCAGUGACAUGGAGAUGGGUUUUUCCAUGGUAUUAGAGUGCCCCAUCACAGAGAACAGCACGUACCCAAGCUGUGCCACCACAUCCCUCCCCCCUGCAGCAAUGGGAACCAGGGCAGUGAUUUAUUGCUCCACUCCCAGUGCUCUCCCAUGAGGAAGCUGAAGCCCAGUGGUCUAAAUAUAGGACAAUGGAACAAAGGCAAAAGCUCUGGGAGGGGUAAAUGGCCACAGGGAGAAUUUGUCCUGUGCCACCACAUGGGCGGCUGCUCCGUCGGUGACAGUGGAAGAGGGCAGGGAUAGUCCGUACCAACAAUAAUCCAGCAAAGCAGAGGGAAAUUAAAAAGAAAGCACCUCAUUUUGCAAGCUCAUUCAUUUUGAGCCUCACAGAGGACUGCAGGGGAAAGAUAAAUGUGGAUCCAGGCAGAGGGGAGCAGAGCAUGGCUUGAGUCUGCAGGAAGAUUUAGGGCCUUGAAGUCCAAAAGCAGGGCUUGAUCGUCGCAUGAGGAAAGAGAAAUCUCUGGGAGUGGAUAUCAUGUUAAACAAUGUGUUGUAAUAAGUGUUUUAUGCUUUAGAGGAGGAGAGAGAACAGUGAAAUCCCCCGUAAGAGCUAAUUACAGCAAAUUCCUUUUCAAUAAAACAAGAACAAAAAAAAAAAAAAAAAAAAAAAAAAAAAAAUCCCCUCUUAAUGGAAAAAUCCAUUUAACGCUCAGAUGAGGUAACUGCAGUUCAUGUCCUCACCGCAUCGUUAGUGGAAGUCAGAUGGGUUCUUCUUGUGCUGUGGCUUGGGAGCAGGUGUGGGGCUGGGGUGUGGGACUGUGGGGCAGGGACCCCCCCCAGGGCUUUGUGGUGCACCCAAGAGACAAUGAUGGAGCCGGGGGGGGACCCUUGAGGUUUGCCUGCAGUGGGACACAGGCAGGGUCUGGGGGCACCCCUUUGGGGCAGCAUCCCAAGAGCCUCUGACACCACGCUGCAGGUCCAACCCAAUUAAAGUGAAAUGAAGAGUUGAAUUAAGAGUGUGUUUGCCUCCUUGUUUGAUAGUCUGUAUUUCCCUGUGACUUGAAAUGGGUCCGGUUUGGUGGAUUUCUUGCACAUGGGAGCAAUGUAUUGAAUUACAUGUAUGUCCAGUACUUAGGAGAGAUACAUUUCUUUUCCACAUGUUCGUGCAGCUGCAUGACCCCAGGAAACCCAACAGUGGGGUCUGUCUUCAGAGACAAAUAGGGAUUGUUUCGUGUGUGUAUGUGUGUGUGUGUGUGUGUGUGUGUGUAAAUGCCUCCCUCCCUCUUUGUUCCCCCAGCCUGUGUGUGUGUGUGUGUGUGUGUGUGCAUGCACGUGCACAGGGCAUUGCUCCCCACUGAACAUGUCCUCAUCCCUCCCAAGCCAACCAGCACAAGCACAGCUAUUUAUUCACCACGAGCUCACGGGGUGGAAAUAUUGCUCGCCCUCUCCCCUGCCCCAGGGAUAUCCCGGUGCUGGGGCUGCUUUGCUGCCCUAAGAAUGGGAGAAGGAACAGAGCAUGCGAUUCUCCUGGACAGCAAUGCCCACAUCCCUCGCUCCCAGCGAACCCACGGGGAGGGAUCCGCCCCAGUGGGAAGGAGGAAGAAACCCGUCCUGUAGGAAUCAGCCCUGGGAGUGGCUGCGGCUCUUCCAGCUGCUGGCAUUCAAAGGGAUCUGUCCUUUUCAUCCCCCGUGUUGUCAGUCAGCAGCCGCAGGCCGGUCAGAAAGGAAGGAGGCUUUGUUGAUAAGAUCUGGAGCUUUUGAGAAAAUAAAAGCGGAGGGUGGAAUGGAUUUCUUUCUUCUUCUUCCGACUUUUCUUUUAAAAGAAUAAUGCAGGGUAAAGAAAAAAUGUUUGUAGGGUAGGAACCUGUUUGAUGUGGAGCAUCACUCCCCAAACACAUUGCUCCCAGAGCAGCAUGCCCAGCUGCCUACUGCAGCCCGGGUCUGCCACGGGCCUGGGACAUCCCUGCGAGCACAUGGCCCCAGAAGCAGCUG